AUGCCCCUGUAUUCUGCAAUCUGCUGCUUCACUGUGGAACACACUUGCACCAGAGCUGAUCGCCUCAGCAAUAUAAUACUUUCCAUUCUCCCCUCAUUACUUACUUUCCCAGCCCUUGGAGAAUUCAUGUCCAUGCCAUCUACAAGUGAAACAAAACACGUGCUGAUCUGCUGCAACAAGUUUUAUCUCUGGGAAGACAGCACUGCUAGAGACCCAUUGCUGCACUUGGCUGAGUGGAAACAUGCUGUUCCUUUGUGUCUGCCAUGCCAGUGUAUCCUGUCUCCCAAACAAAAGGACUGUGCAGCAUAA
rnacentral:lncRNA from 1 species